GAAGGUUAUUGUUGAAAUCCCCAGUGUAGUUUUCGAGAAACUGAAUUUCAGUCUUUCCACAGGCUAAAAUGCAAUCUUAAAGGCUGAAAUUCAGUUUCUCAAAAACUACACUGGCGAUUUUCAAAUAACUU